rnacentral:rRNA from 1 species
UACGAAGGGUGCAAACGUUGCUCGGAAUCAUUGGGCGUAAAGCGCACGUAGGCGGCUUCAAAAGUCGGAUGUGAAAUCCCGUGGCUCAACCAUGGACGUGCAUUCGAAACUGCGAAGCUUGAGUAUGGAAGAGGGUCACGGAAUUCCCGGUGUAGAGGUGAAAUUCGUAGAUAUCGGGAGGAACACCGGUGGCGAAGGCGGCGACCUGGGUAGAUACUGACGCUGAGGCGCGAAAGCGUGGGGAGCAAACAGG